UCCGUAGGUGAACCUGCGGAAGGAUCACUAAAGUAAACGCCCUCCGGGGCUCUCUUUAUUCACACACCCCUGUGCACUUUGGCCACCUGCCGCGCUUCACUGCGUUAGUAGGUGUGUCUUUAUAAUUAUACCCAUAUACACAAGUCAUUGAAUGUAAAAUCGUUAUAAACUAAUAUAACUUUCAACAACGGAUCUCUUGGUUCUCGCAUCGAUGAAGAACGCAGCGAAUUGCGAUAAGUAAUGUGAAUUGCAGAAUUCAGUGAAUCAUCGAAUCUUUGAACGCAUCUUGCGCUCUUUGGUAUUCCGAAGAGCAUGCCUGUUUGAGUGUCAUGAAACUCUCACCUCCAGCCUUCUUUAAUUAGAGGUGUUGGGGCGUGGACGUGAGUGCUGCUGGUGCCCUGGUUGCAUCGGCUCACUUGAAAUAUGUUAGCUGACUCCUCUAGAGGUGGUUCUACUCGACGUGAUAAGAUCUCCGUCGAGGACAGUGCAACUUGUUGUGCUGGCCGCUUCUAGCAGUUGACGUCGCUUCUAAUUAGCGCAGACUUCGAGUGCUGGCAACUUUUGACAACUUGGCCUCAAAUCAGGUAGGACUACCCACUGAACUUAAGCAUAUCAAUAAGCGGAGGAA
rnacentral:rRNA from 1 species